GAUGAACGCUGGCGGCGUGCCUAAUACAUGCAAGUCGAGCGAACAGACGAGGAGCUUGCUCCUCUGACGUUAGCGGCGGACGGGUGAGUAACACGUGGAUAACCUACCUAUAAGACUGGGAUAACUUCGGGAAACCGGAGCUAAUACCGGAUAAUAUAUUGAACCGCAUGGUUCAAUAGUGAAAGACGGUUUUGCUGUCACUUAUAGAUGGAUCCGCGCCGCAUUAGCUAGUUGGUAAGGUAACGGCUUACCAAGGCAACGAUGCGUAGCCGACCUGAGGGGGUGAUCGGCCACACUGGAACUGAGACACGGUCCAGACUCCUACGGGAGGCAGCAGUAGGGAAUCUUCCGCAAUGGGCGAAAGCUUGACGGAGCAACGCCGCGUGAGUGAUGAAGGUCUUCGGAUCGUAAAACUCUGUUAUUAGGGAAGAACAAAUGUGUAAGUAACUAUGCACGUCUUGACGGUACCUAAUCAGAAAGCCACGGCUAACUACGU
rnacentral:rRNA from 1 species